rnacentral:rRNA from 1 species
GAACGGGUGAGUAAUACAUCGGAAUCUGCCUGGUAGUGGGGGAUAACGUUCGGAAACGGACGCUAAUACCGCAUACGUCCUACGGGAGAAAGCAGGGGACCUUCGGGCCUUGCGCUAUCAGAUGAGCCUAGGUCGGAUUACUAGUUGGUGAGGUAAUGGCUCACCAAGGCAACGAUCCGUAACUGGUCUGAGAGGAUGAUCAGUCACACUGGAACUGAGACACGGUCCAGACUCCUACGGGAGGCAGCAGUGGGGAAUAUUGGACAAUGGGCGAAAGCCUGAUCCAGCCAUGCCGCGUGUGUGAAGAAGGUCUUCGGAUUGUAAAGCACUUUAAGUUGGGAGGAAGGGCAGUUACCUAAUACGUGAUUGUUUUGACGUUACCGACAGAAUAAGCACCGGCUAACUCUGUGCCAGCAGCCGCGGUAAUACAGAGGGUGCAAGCGUUAAUCGGAAUUACUGGGCGUAAAGCGCGCGUAGGUGGUUAGUUAAGUUGGAUGUGAAAUCCCCGGGCUCACCUGGGACUGCA